rnacentral:rRNA from 1 species
AACGAACGCUGGCGGCAUGCCUAACACAUGCAAGUCGAACGAGACCUUCGGGUCUAGUGGCGCACGGGUGCGUAACGCGUGGGAAUCUGCCCUUGGGUUCGGAAUAACAGUUAGAAAUGACUGCUAAUACCGGAUGAUGACUUCGGUCCAAAGAUUUAUCGCCCAGGGAUGAGCCCGCGUAGGAUUAGCUUGUUGGUGAGGUCAAAGCUCCCCAAGGCGACGAUCCUUAGCUGGUCUGAGAGGAUGAUCAGCCACACUGGGACUGGGACACGGCGCAGACUCCUACGGGAGGCAGCAGUGGGGAAUAUUGGACAAUGGGCGUAAGCCUGGUCCAGCAAUGCCGCGUGAGUGAUGAAGGCCUUAGGGUUGUAAAGCUCUUUUACCCGGGAUGAUAAUGACAGUACCGGGAGAAUAAGCCCCGGCUAACUCCGUGCCAGCAGCCGCGGUAAUAC